AGGACGAACGCUGGCGGCGUGCUUAACACAUGCAAGUCGAACGGAAAGGCCCGCUUGCGGGUACUCGAGUGGCGAACGGGUGAGUAACACGUGGGCAACCUGCCCUCAGCUCUGGGAUAACUCCGGGAAACCGGUGCUAAUACUGGAUAUCGACUUCUGCCUCGCAUGGGGUGUUGUUGAAAGUUUUUCGGCUGGGGAUGGGCCCGCGGCCUAUCAGCUUGUUGGUGGGGUGAUGGCCUACCAAGGCGACGACGGGUAGCCGGCCUGAGAGGGCGACCGGCCACACUGGGACUGAGACACGGCCCAGACUCCUACGGGAGGCAGCAGUGGGGAAUAUUGCGCAAUGGGCGGAAGCCUGACGCAGCGACGCCGCGUGAGGGAUGACGGCCUUCGGGUUGUAAACCGUCUUUCAGCUCUGACGAAGCGUGAGUGACGGUAGGAGCAGAAGAGCACCGGCCAACUACGCGCCAGCAGCCGCGGU
rnacentral:rRNA from 1 species